UGCUUGAGUGCAGAAGGCCUUUGGUUCCAGCCCACGGGAAUACAGAGCAUCUGGAUGUAAGGAUUGGAGGACGUGCUGUGUUCCAGUGUGACCCUGGAUACACAUUAAAGGGUUUCAGGAUGGCCACCUGUUUAUUGGAUGGGUCAUGGAGUACACCAAGUCCACAGUGUGUGCCUGACCAAAACUGCGGCAUUCCUCCAAAGCCAGAGCAUGGUGAUCACUUCCUCGUUUAUGGACCAAAUGAUGUAAUUAUUGCUAUACAGUAUUUCUGCUAUAAGCUAUACAAACUGAAUGGAAUCCCUCAGAGAACCUGUCUGGGCAAUAACACUUGGAGUGGGACAGCACCAACCUGUGUCAAAGAGCUGGACAAAAUUCCUGCAGCAGAUACUGAACAAAACCAAGGCAAACACAGACCUACCGGACAAGACGAACUGGCCCUUGCCAAGAACAAAACUUCACAAGAAAAAGAAAAUGAGUCAAAAACAGUCAAAGAUAUAAAACCACAAAAGCCUACCCCUGGAAAAGAUAAUGUGGGGCAAGAUGGAAAGUUUGGCGAAGACAUGGGCAUAGAUUUUGGGAGAGAUUUUGUAAAAGAAAAACCUAAAGCUGAAAACAAAGAUGCUGAUAGCAGCAUUAACACAAUCAGAAAGAAGGAAACUGGAGAGGAUAAGGACGCUCUUAAACCCUUUGACAAAGACGCACAUUUAGAUAUCGGAAAGAAAGUUGGAAGUCCAACAAAAGAUUUGGGAAUGGAAUAUAUAGAUAUUGUCUUGAUAGACAAUAGGAUGGCCAAUAAUCAAACCACAAAGGCUGACAAAACCAAGGAUGGUGGAAUGGACAAAGGACAAAAAAGAAUCGAUGGACCUCAAUACACAAUAUUAAGCCUGACUGAAGAUGAGAAAGACAAUAUUCUUUAUGAAAUAGAUACAAUACACAAAGGAAAUAACACUCAAUUUUUCAAUAGGAAUGACAUAGAAAAUUUGGGGACACUGCUUGAAGAAACUGAGCAACUCCCAUCAGCUACUAUUGGAAAUUACAACACAACAGUCAUGCCAACCGUGAGCAAAACAACUGAUAAAAUGACAAUGAUGGCUAAACCUAUGGAAAAGGUCAAAGUGGAUACAGUGAACGUAAAGACGUCAGAACAGGAUUUACAACAAGAGACAAAAAACGAAUCUCAACAAAACACAGACAUGGAAGGUGAAUCUGGGCAGAUUAUUGGUAACACAAUUAAAUGUUUUAUAGUGAUUUAUACAGUUUAA
ensembl:lncRNA